rnacentral:lncRNA from 1 species
AAAACCCAAAACUUCAAAUGUAAAUAAAAGGAUGUCCAGUUCACCAGAAUAAAAUUAAACUUUCAGAACGGGUGGCCACUCCGAAUUCCCUCACAGCUCCAAGCCCACUAUGGUUGGGGAUUUCCUGCGUGGAUGAAAAUAAAAGGGGUGAGUUUGGGGAAACUCAGUGUGUAAGAAAAACUCAUUCAAAGCCCAAGUCAGCUCAAGCCUAUUGGGCCUAAGCCCAUUCAGGUAACAGUGGUACUGGGCCAGAGCCCUUUUCAGAUUACAAUAAACUGGGCCUUAGCCCCUUAUUCAGA